GGAAGGAAGGAAGCAGGAUGGAGAGCAAGAAGGAGCCCUGGAGGAGGCACAUGGAGCCUAGAGAAACAUGAAGAAACUACACUUGCCUUUUGGUCCUGGACUGGGUGACACAGGAAGGCUACUGAUUUAAGGCUGUUGAUUUGGGAAAAUUCCAGAUAAUAUUAAAGCUGAAAAUGAACAGUUGCAGCAGGGAGCUUAUGCCAGCUUCCCACUUUCAUUGUUCAUAGGUCAUUCUUUACAGCAUUCACCAUGUGCUGUGGCUUCUAAGUGCCUCGAUGAAUUCUCAGAGCAACCCUAGGAAGGCUUUCCACAGAAACCGAGAUUUAUUUAUUUAUUUACACAAGCACUGGGUACAGUCAGAAGCACAGGAGGGUGAGAGAAUUCACCAGAGCCAGAGCGGGGAACAGAACAGGCAGACUGACGAAGAACACUGCUGAGGGAAGCAGUGAGCAGCAGGAGAGGUCUGCACGCCAUGUGGCACCCUCGCCCGGUGGCCGGGGAUUGAACCGGCGCUGCAGAGGAUGCGUGCAGCUUCGCAA